UGUCCAUGGGAUUCUCCAGGCAAGAAUACUGGAGUGGGUUGCCAUUCACUUCUCCACGGGAUCGUCUCGACCCAGGGAUCUAACCCAGGUCUCUUGCACUGCAGGCAGAAUCUUUGCCCACUGAGCCACCUGGGAAGCCCUGCAAAAUACUUUUAUACAAGUCUGCUAAGAAGGUUGUCAAUUUCAAAACCACGGAAUGGGAAGGAGGACGUGAAAUUAGAACUGGCUAUCAAAACACUCCCCAAAGUGGACUUGAGGGACACUUUGGGAAAGGGUACAAUAAGACCCCUAAUGUUUAUUGCUCCCACUGCAAAGAAUACAAUUAAGGUCCCUUAAUGUUUAUUGUUCCAGCCUGAAAGAACACCAUUAAGUCUGAAGCAUCACCUGAUGGCAUCCUCAUCCAGCCACACUCCUUGAGCACAGAUGGGACAUUAUGUAACACAAAGAGAGCUGGGUUGCUCACCUGGCUGCAUUCGAAGAACCCUGUCAAGAACUUUUCUUUAAACAAAUCCAGUAGCAAGAUAAUAUGGCAGCCCACCUCCCCCAUCUGCCAACAUCCUGUAAGCUCUGUGGCAACAUGAACAGAACUGAAUCAAUAUUCAUGAUUCCUGUUUUUUGGAGGAAAAAAAUGAAAGAAAGAAUUAAAAAAAAAAACACACUAUAUGUUCUGCUGUAUUAGUAUGUCUAAUGAGAAUAAAUUAAAACCCAGAUGAGACA
rnacentral:lncRNA from 1 species